UACGAAGGGGGCUAGCGUUGCUCGGAAUCACUGGGCGUAAAGCGCACGUAGGCGGACUCUUAAGUCAGGGGUGAAAUCCUGGAGCUCAACUCCAGAACUGCCUUUGAUACUGGGAGUCUUGAGUUCGGGAGAGGUGAGUGGAACUGCGAGUGUAGAGGUGAAAUUCGUAGAUAUCGGGGAGGAACAUCAGUGGCGAAGGCGGCUACCUGGCCCAAUACUGACACUCAGGUGCGACAGCGUGGGGAGCGAACAGG
rnacentral:rRNA from 1 species